CGUGCUUGAAAAUUCGUCAAGUUUUGUCCCUUUCCCACUCCAUGAUGCAAAAGUGAAGAAGAGAAGCGAAAAGGAAUGAGUGCUCUCGCUCCAAGUGAAGUUCCAUGAAAGGGUGAGGCAAUACCCAGUGCUGCUGAUCUGACUCUCUCUUGUUUAGUGUCUCUACACGAACUGCCGCCCACUAGUGCCUCACCUUAUAUUAAUAUGCGUAAUAUUUGUUCUCUUAUUGUGCGUUUCGGUUGCGUUUUCGAUGCGGUUUCGGUGCGGUUUUGUCGUAACUUCGCCACUCGUACGGUGACUCUCUCCAUCAGAAGCGUAAGAUUAGCAGCAAAAUGAUGGAUUCAAUCUAAACUAUUGCCAUUUGUUGUGAGACAAGACAAGCAGGAGACAGAUACAAAAGUAUCUGCCUGGAUGUUUCUUGAUUCAAGAGAUUAGACCUUAAAUAUAUUCACGGUCGAUCUGGAGUACAAUAAAAUUUAGCCAACAAUAGGCUACAUCGUUUCUGAAGCCCACCCCCUCCGCUGCUCCGCUACUCAUUUAAAUUCAAGUUUGUUUUGCGAGAAAAUAAAAGAAAAAUAAAUACAAAAAAAUGUGGGGAAAACGAAGCAAAGAACGAGAGGGAAACGAGAGAAAAUGCCAAUGGUGGGGACCGGAUGGAAAUGUUAAUAAUGAAACAACAAAAUCCAAAUGAAUGCGUUGCAAAUCGAAAAAUAAUAAAAACAGAACUUGUCCUCGGCCACGACCCUCGAGGACAUCCUGGAGGGUAAUCGUGGGGCAUUGGCCGCCCGGACAGGAGGCCCUCAUUACGUAUUCCCUGAACAAAUUCUAUUAAUUAUCGUUAUGUCCCUCUGAUGGGUGACUGCAAUUGGAAGGUUUCCUGCUGUUUGCUGUUGGCUGUUGGCUCUGGCUCCUGGCCCCCAAUAAAAGUUACACCAGGAUUUCCAUUACCUCCCGCACCCCCUCCCCCCCUAACACAUAAUCGAUAUCGAUUCUUAGUGGACCCUCAGGGCCUUAGGUUUUGUUAUACCCAACAAGGGAUAUUUUAAAACGUUUAACAGACAAUUUUGUGCCUACUUUGGUGGGAAUAUUUUCAAAAAACCCAAAAAAUAAAAAACGAAAAAAAACAUGAACCCAGCAAUCCAUGACCGACCAAAGCCCCAAUGUCAGAUUCGAUAUCGUGUGAGAAUACUGGAAAAUGUUCAGUAUUGCUAGCAGCGUGGACAGUAAAAUACAUAAAAUAAAAACUCCAAAUUUCUAAAUUUUUUAAGUAAAAAGUUAAGUUUAUACAAAGGCGAUGGAACCAAGCACGUUUUCGUAUCUGUACUCUAAUACUCUGUACUCUGUACUCUGUACUCUGGACUCUGCACAGUCCAAUCCACAUUCUCAAUUACAUUACAUUCCCCCCGACGACAAAAGAAGAUGACUUUCAAGGUAGUCGCUCGCAAUAAGUGGAAUCUGGUGUUCACUUAUCGAAAAAUCAAAAAAUUAAAAUCGAAAAACGCUAACGACUAUUUUGAUCCUGAAAAUGAUUAUAUUUUGAUACUAAUAAUUA
rnacentral:sRNA from 1 species